GGACCUACGGGGGGCAGCAUUAUUGAAUCUUCGGCAAUUUUCUAAAGCCUGACCGAGCAACGCCGCGUGAAUGAAGAAGGCCUCCGGGUUGUAAAAUUCUGUUAUAAGGGAAGAAAGGUGAUAGGAGGAAAUGACUAUCAAUUGACGGUACCUUAUGAGAAAGCCACGGCUAACUACGCGCCAGCAGCCGCGGUAAUACGUAGGUGGCAAGCGUUAUCCGGAAUUAUUGGGCGUAAAGAGCGCGCAGGUGGUUAAUUAAGUCUGAUGUGAAAGCCCACGGCUUAACCGUGGUGGGUCAUUGGAAA
rnacentral:rRNA from 1 species